AUUUCUUAAGUGAUCCAUUGGUUGUUUAGUAGCGUGUUGUUGACUCUCCAUGUGUUUGUGUUUUCUGAAGAUUUUUUUCUUGUUGUUGAUUUCCAUUCAUAUAGCGUUGUGAUUGGAAAAGAUGCUUAAUAUGAUUUCAAUUUUCUUAAAGUUACUGAGGUUGGAUUUGUACGCCAGGAUGUGAUCAAUCUUGGAGAAUGUUCCAUGUGCACUUGAGAAGAAUGUGUAUUGCUUUUGGAUGGUGUAAUGCAUCAUUCAGGGCCUGUGUUUCCUUAUUGAUUUUCUGUCUGGAUGAUCUGUCCAUUGCUGUAAGUGGGGUGCUAAAGUUCCCCACUAUUAUUAUGUUAUUGUUGAUUUCUCCUUUGAAGGUCGUUAGCAGUUGCCUUAUAUAUGGUGUUGAACCUAUGUUGGGUGUGUAGAUAUUUAAAAUUGUUAUAUCUUCUUCUUGGAUUGAUCCUUUGAUCAUUAUGUAGUGACAUUCUUUGUCCCUUAAAAUAUUCUUCAUUUUAAAGUCUACUUUGUCUGAUAUGAGUAUUGCUACUCCAGCUUUCUUUUGAUCCCCAUUUGCAUGGAAUAUUUUCUUCCACCGUCUCACUUUCAAUUUGUAUGUGUCCCUAGAAGUGAAGUGGGUCUCUUGAGGACAGCAUAUAUAUGGUUCUUGUUUUUGUAUCCAUUCAGCCAGUCUAUGACUUUUGGUUGGGGCGUUUAGUCCAUUAACAUUUAAGGUAAUUAUUGAUAUGUAUGUUCUUAUUGCCAUUUUAUUAAUUGCCUUGGAUUUGUUUUUGUUGCUCUUUUUUCUUUCCUUCUUCUCCUGUUCUCUCCUCUUCUGGUUUGAUGACUAUCUUUAGUGUUGUAUUUGAGUUGAUUUUUCUUUGUGUAUCGACUGUAGAUUUUUGGCUUGCAGUUAUUCUAAAGUUUUGAUUUAAGAGUCUAUAUGUAUAUGAUAUUGUUUUAAGUUGUUGGUCUCUAAUUGCAAGUUCAUCUCCAGUGUCCUGCACUUGUACCCACCUCUUCUCAUAAUUUCUGAUUAUGGUGGUAUAAUUGUGCAUGGAUGGUUUCAUAUCUUUACUGUAUAUAUAACUUUACUGGUGAGCCUUGUCAUUUGUGGAAUUUUUGUUUCCUGUUGCUGUCUUUUCUUUUCAGCCUAGAGAAGUUCCUUUAGUAUUUGUUGUAAGGCUGGUUUAGUGUUGCUGAAUUCUCUUAGCUUUUGCUUAUCUGUGAAGGUUUUGAUUUCUCCUUCAAAUCUAAAUGAGAGCCUUGCUGGGUAGAGUAAUCUUGGUUGGAGGUUUUUUCCUUUCAUCACGUUAAGUAUAUCCUGCCACUCCCUUCUGGCCUGCAGAGUUUCUGCUGAAAAAUCUGCUGAUAACCUUAUUGGGGCUCCCUUGUAUGUUAUUUGUUUCCUUUCCCUAGCUGCUUUCAAGAUUUUCUCUUUGUCUUUAAUUUUGGUCAGUUUGAUUAAUCAAAUUAGAAUUUAAUGUGAAGACAAGGCCCCUUGCUUUGUAUCUUAUCGGGCAGACCCUCCUUAGCUCUUUCAAAUCAGCCCCUCUCUCCUACAAGGGAGGCCUAGGCAGCAUCUUAAAAAAGCUUCCCGUGUGAUUCUGACAUCACUGAAAUUUGAGAACCCUGGUUCUCAAAUGAUGGUGAUUUUGCCCCCACCAUGGGAGAGUUGGCAACGUCUGAGGACAUUUUUGUUGUAAAAAUGGGAAAUGGGUACUACUGGCAUACAGUGAGUGGGGGCCAGGGAUGCUGCUAAAUGUCCUACGGUGCACAGGACAGUCCCCCACAACAAAGAUGAUCUGGCCCAAAAUAUCAUAGUACCAAGGUUGAGAAACCCUGAUCUAGACAUCAGGUGGAUCCCCGAAGUAGUCCAGGUUAGUCCCAUUUUAAUAAAUCAACUUCUAUUUUAAUAGCAUUGAAAAGCUCAGAUCCACCAAGCUUUCUGGCUUUCAACCAACUGACUUGCCUGGGAACCAUAAGCAGUGUGCCUGGGGCAUUCCCAUCAUCUGAAUCGUUGGGAACACUCUGGCCUUGCACCCCACCCCUUUCCCACAUCUGUCAGGCUGCCCUAGCUCUUCUUAGAUCCGAAAGGGUUGGUCUGAGCCCCUAGAGGGUCCUGGUCUUGCUUAUUCUCUCUAGGUAAUUAUGAUACAGCCAGACUAUAAGUACUUGCCAGACUGUUUCUUAGAUAUGCAGGAAUCUUACAUUUCCCUGCCUCCACUGCAGUUAGCUUGGGAGCCAUAUGACCAACUCCUGGUCCAUGACAUGUGGGUGAAUAUGAUGCAUGCUCUUUUCCUGGCUGGCAUGGCUCUGGGGUAGCAGGGAAGGCAUCCAGAAGGGCCCUGUAGAGGUAAGCUGACCAUAGCCUUGAUGCUGGCAUGAUCCCAUUAGUGGAGGUGCUGCCAGGGGCCAGGGGUUGGGGGCAGAGUGGCCCUAUGGCUCAGGGCUGCAAGGUUAACCCCAGGCCAGGUGCCCUGGGGAGACCCAACUGGAUUUCAAGAGGAUGUACAGCCCAUGUAAGAGCUGGGGGGAGAGAAUGUGGGGCCCCGACUAGGUGAAUCCCAGUUUUUCCAGCAGCAGAGACAGCAGGGUGAACAGGGCCAAAGCACAGGGAUGUCUUUGCUACGGAGGCCUGCUUUGCUACCCAGAGUGUCAUGAGGACAUAACAGGUCUCUGACUCCCUGCCCACACACCCUCCCUUGAGGAGGCUGAGUGGAGCUAAGAAAGGGAUUUUUCUCAGAUCUUCCCCCACAUUUUUAUUUCUAGAAUUGUUAAACAUUAAGAAAAGCUGAAAGAAUAAUACAAUUAUCACCUAUACACUCUUUACCAAGAGUCACCUAAUGUUUCUCCUGACAUUAUUCCAUCAUUCUCUCUGUCUUUCUCCUCUUGCUGAAACAUUUGAAAAUAAGUAUCAUAAUGUGUGUUAUAAUCCAUUCCUGUCAUUAAUCUUUGUGAUGUCAAGUUGGGCUAAGGGAUGCCCAGACAGCUGGUAAACCAUUAUUUCUGAGUAUGUCAGCGAGGGUGUUUCUGGAAGAAAUUAGCCUUAAAUCAGUAGACUGAGUGAAAAAGAUCUGUCUCACCAAUGUGGGUGGGCAUCAUCCAACGGCUUGAGGACCUG
rnacentral:lncRNA from 1 species